AACGAACGCUGGCGGCAGGCUUAACACAUGCAAGUCGAACGAGAUCUUCGGAUCUAGUGGCAGACGGGUGAGGAACACGUGGGAACAUCCCUUUCAGUUCGGAAUAACAUUGGGAAACUAACGCUAAUACCGGAUACGUCCUUAGGGAGAAAGAUUUAUCGCUGAAAGAUUGGCCCGCGUCUGAUUAGCUAGUUGGUGAGGUAACGGCUCACCAAGGCUACGAUCAGUAGCUGAUCUGAGAGGAUGAUCAGCCACAUUGGUACUGAGACACGGCCCAAAAUCCUACGGGAGGCAGCAGGGGGGAAUAUUGGACAAUGGGCGCAAGCCUGAUCCAGCCAUGGCGCGUGAGUGAUGACGGCCUUCGGGUUGUAAAGCUCUUUUGUCCGGGAAGAUAAUGACUGUACCAGAAGAAUAAGCCCCGGCAAACUUCGUGCCAGCAGCCGCAGUAA
rnacentral:rRNA from 1 species